rnacentral:rRNA from 1 species
CAGCCUCCACGGUAAUACGUAGGUGGCAAGCGUUGUCCGGAAUUAUUGGGCGUAAAGGGCUCGCAGGCGGUUUCUUAAGUCUGAUGUGAAAGCCCCCGGCUCAACCGGGGAGGGUCAUUGGAAACUGGGAAACUUGAGUGCAGAAGAGGAGAGUGGAAUUCCACGUGUAGCGGUGAAAUGCGUAGAGAUGUGGAGGAACACCAGUGGCGAAGGCGACUCUCUGGUCUGUAACUGACGCUGAGGAGCGAAAGCGUGGGGAGCGAACAGGAUUAGAUACCCCUGUAGUCCCUGUCUCUUAUAC